rnacentral:rRNA from 1 species
GACGGAGGGUGCAAGCGUUGUUCGGAAUUACUGGGCGUAAAGGGCGCGUAGGCGGUCUGUUAAGUUCGGUGUGAAAGCCCCCGGCUCACCUGGGGAACUGCGCCGGAAACCGACAGACUCGAGUACCGGAGAGGAGGGUGGAAUUCCAGGUGUAGCGGUGAAAUGCGUAGAUAUCUGGAGGAACACCGGUGGCGAAGGCGGCAUCCUGGACCAAUUCUGACGCUGAGUGAGCGAAAGCCAGGGGAGCAAACGGG